GAACUGCGAUAAGUAAUGUGAAUUGCAGAAUUCAGUGAAUCAUCGAGUCUUUGAACGCACAUUGCGCCCCCUGGCGUUCCGGGGGGCAUGCCUGUCCGAGCGUCAUUGCUGCCCUUCAAGCCCGGCUUGUGUGUUGGGUCGUCGUCCCCUCCGGGGGACGGGCCCGAAAGGCAGCGGCGGCACCGCGUCCGGUCCUCGAGCGUAUGGGGCUUUGUCACCCGCUCGAUAAGGACCGGCCGGGCGCCAGCCGGCGUCUCCAACCUUUUUUUCUCAGGUUGACCUCGGAUCAGGUAGGGAUACCCGCUGAACUUAAGC
rnacentral:misc_RNA from 1 species